rnacentral:lncRNA from 1 species
AUGCUGUCGCCAGGCUGCAGCCGCCUGACGGGACUCACCCAGGGCACGCCCUCUGAGCUCACACCCGCCGUGCGCUCAUGCCCCUGGGCCACCCCGCCUACCCUCCCGCGCGGCUCUGCGCGCACAGGCCUGACGCUCGGAGCCGGCGCCGGGCUAACCUGCUCGGCCUCCUGGGCGCAGCGGCGCCUCUGGACUUCAGCACGCGCACCAGCGGCCUCCUCGCAGGCUCCGUGCCCGCGCACGCGCCCUCGCGUCGUGCUCCUCGCGGAGAGACCUGCGCUCGGGGCCAGGCUCCGGGGGGUCUCUCGGCUGCAGUUCUACCGGGACUUCCGCGCUUCAGUGGCCUUUCUGAUGAGCCGCCGCGCCCAGAGAUGUUCAGGUUGGAGCGACACUUCCCAGAGUGAAGCGGUCACUCCAGAUCUUUGGCUUUCAUUCCGUUUUCGCAAGGUUCUCCCUCUUUGCAAGCUCUGGAUUGUCUUUGUUCUUUCCCAGUAGAGGAAUCCCAAGGAGGACUGAUCAGUUUUCACAGGUGCAAAACCAUGUUAUGUGUGAGCAGAUACCCUAAACCUCAGGUCUCUGGGGCCUCGGUGGAGGAAAACAAAGGAAGAAGAAGUGUGAAGCCAUUGUGGCCUUUUCAAUAGGUCUCAAACCUGCAUCUUAAGUGGAAGUUGG